CACGUAGGGUGCGAGCGUUGUCCGGAAUUAUUGGGCGUAAAGAGCUCGUAGGCGGUGUGUCGCGUCGGCCGUGAAAACCUGCAGCUUAACUGUGGGCGUGCGGUCGAUACGGGCAUCACUGGAGUUCGGCAGGGGAGACUGGAAUUCCUGGUGUAGCGGUGAAAUGCGCAGACAUCAGGAGGAACACCGGUGGCGAAGGCGGGUCUCUGGGCCGAUACUGACGCUGAGGCACGAAAGCGUGGGGAGCAAACAGG
rnacentral:rRNA from 1 species